rnacentral:rRNA from 1 species
GACGAACGCUGGCGGCGUGCUUAACACAUGCAAGUCGAACGGUGAAGCGAGUGCUUGCACUCGUGGAUCAGUGGCGAACGGGUGAGUAACACGUGAGUAACCUGCCCAUCACUCUGGGAUAAGCACUGGAAACGGUGUCUAAUACUGGAUACGACCAACCCUUGCGUGGGGUGUUGGUGGAAAGAUUUAUCGGUGAUGGAUGGACUCGCGGCCUAUCAGCUUGUUGGCGGGGUAAUGGCCCACCAAGGCGACGACGGGUAGCCGGCCUGAGAGGGUGACCGGCCACACUGGGACUGAGACACGGCCCAGACUCCUACGGGAGGCAGCAGUGGGGAAUAUUGCACAAUGGGCGAAAGCCUGAUGCAGCGACGCCGCGUGAGGGAUGACGGCCUUCGGGUUGUAAACCUCUUUCAGCAGGGAAGAAGCGAAAGUGACGGUACCUGCAGAAGAAGCACCGGCUAACUACGUG